ACAAAAGCUGUGAUAAGAACAAGUAAUAACCCGUACCGCAAACAGAAAGUUGCCGGCUGAUGAGAGGCGCUUGGCAGGCUGGUUAUGAAUACCUCUUUGAGCUUCACACCGAACAUCUUUCAGUAGGCUGUGACGGUUUCCUGCACACGUUAUAGUGCUAGAGUAUACCCAUAUCCAUGGCGUACUCGAAGAGGCGGGCAAUGGGAAUUGUUCGUAAAGGUAAGGUGGUAACACGGGAGCAUACUCUCGUCCUUCUG
rnacentral:ncRNA from 1 species